AUUCGCCCGCCGCGCCCCGCGCCCGUCCCGCCGCCCCCGCCCGCUCCUACGGGAGGCAGCAGUGGGGAAUAUUGCACAAUGGGGGAAACCCUGAUGCAGCGACGCCGCGUGAGUGAAGAAGUAUUUCGGUACGUAAAGCUCUAUCAGCAGGGAAGAAAGAAAUGACGGUACCUGAGUAAGAAGCCCCGGCUAACUACGUGCCAGCAGCCGCGGUAAUACAAUCCAUAUGACUAG
rnacentral:rRNA from 1 species